rnacentral:rRNA from 1 species
GAUGAACGCUAGCGGCAGGCCUAAUACAUGCAAGUCGAACGGGAUCUGAGGGUAGCUUGCUACCCGAUUUGAGAGUGGCGCACGGGUGCGUAACGCGUGAGCAACCUACCCAUAUCAGGGGGAUAGCCCGAAGAAAUUCGGAUUAACACCGCAUAAUAAUACGCUAACACAUGUUGAUGUAUUUAAAUAUUUAUAGGAUAUGGAUGGGCUCGCGUGACAUUAGCUAGUUGGUAAGGUAACGGCUUACCAAGGCGACGAUGUCUAGGGGCUCUGAGAGGAGAAUCCCCCACACUGGUACUGAGACACGGACCAGACUCCUACGGGAGGCAGCAGUAAGGAAUAUUGGUCAAUGGGCGCAAGCCUGAACCAGCCAUGCCGCGUGCAGGAUGACUGCCCUAUGGGUUGUAAACUGCUUUUGUUAGGGAAUAAACCUUCUUACGUGUAAGGAGCUGAAUGUACCUAAAGAAUAAGGAUCGGCUAACUCCGUGCCAGCCGCCGCGGUAA